CCUAAGUAAAGUGGCGCACGGGUGAGUAACACGUGGAUCAUCUACCUUUUAGUGGGGAAUACCUCUGGGAAACCGGAGACAAUACCGCAUAAGCCUGUAAAGGGAAAGCAGCAAUGCGCUGAAAGAGGAGUCCGCGGCCGAUUAGCUAGUUGGCGGGGUAACGGCCCACCAAGGCGAAGAUCGGUAGCCGGCCUGAGAGGGCACACGGCUACACUGGCACUGAAACACGGGCCAG
rnacentral:rRNA from 1 species